UACGUAGGGUGCGAGCGUUGUCCGGAAUUACUGGGCGUAAAGAGCUCGUAGGCGGUUUGUCGCGUCGUCCGUGAAACUUGGGCUCAACCCAAGCUUGCGGGCGAUACGGGCAGACUUGAGUACUGCAGGGAGACUGGAAUUCCUGGUGUAGCGGUGAAAUGCGCAGAUAUCAGGAGGAACACCGAUGGCGAAGGCAGGUCUCUGGCAUUAACUGACGCUGAGGAGCGAAAGCAUGGGGAGCGAACAGG
rnacentral:rRNA from 1 species